CAAUAGCGUAUAUUAAAAUUGCUGCAGUUAAAAAGCUCGUAGUUGGAUCUUGGGCGCAGGCUGGCGGUCCGCCGCAAGGCGCGCCACUGCCCGCCUGGCCUUCCUCUCGGUCUCCGCCCGGUUCUCUUGACUGAGUGCCGGGCGCGGCCGAAACGUUUACUUUGAAAAAAUUGGAGUGUUCAAAGCAGGCCGGCCGCCUGGACAGCAGAGCAUGGAAUAAUGGAAUAGGACCUCGGUUCUAUUGCGUUGGUUUUCGGAACUCGAGGUAAUGAUUAAGAGGGACUGACGGGGGCAUUCGUAUUGCGGUGUGAGAGGUGAAAUUCUUGGAUCGCCGCAAGACGACCGACUGCGAAAGCAUUUGCCAAGAAUGUUUUCAUUAA
rnacentral:rRNA from 1 species